rnacentral:rRNA from 1 species
UGGGGAAUUUUGCACAAUGGGGGAAACCCUGAUGCAGCGACGCCGCGUGAUUUAGAAGGCCUUCGGGUUGUAAAAAUCUUUUUUACGGGAUGAAAAUGACAGUACCGUAAGAAUAAGGUCCGGCUAAAUACGUGCCAGCAGCCGCGGUAAUACGUAUGGACCGAGCGUUGUCCGGAAUCAUUGGGCGUAAAGGGUACGUAGGCGGCCUAGUAAGUUAGAAGUGAAAUAAUAUAGCUCAACUAUAUAAAGCUUUUAAAACUGCUAGGCUUGAGAGAUGGAAGGGAAAGUGGAAUUCCUAGUGGAGCGGUGAAAUGCGCAGAUAUUAGGAAGGAUUCCGGUGGCGAAGGCGAGUUUCUGGUCAUCAUCUGACGCUGAGGUACGAAAGCGUGGGUAGCAAACAGG